GUUUCCUUUUCCUCUUUCAAUUCAUUCUAAAGUCCGGUGCCGCUACACUGAAAUUGGGUGAGCCGGCGCUGCCGUAGUUUCUCUAAAUCCGACACAAUCGUCGUUCGUUUCCUCUUCUUCUCUCAAUCACUACAAUUCCAGAGUCCACACACAAAGAAUCGAGCCCUAGUUCAUUAUUCUCUUGGAAACUGUUGCCGUCGCGGCUCCUCUCCGACGAUGUUGUGCCCGCCGUCGGCGUUGCCUCUAGUGUUCUCAAUUACACAUGGAGGAAGGGACGAGCCCUAAUUUCGCCUCAGAAUCGCCGCAGGCCAUCCCCCCUCCCCUUUGAACUCCGGCGAUGUCGCCGUCCUUAGGGCGGUGUCGCUCUGCCUCAUCUCAGAAAACUCUCUCCUCUCAACCUCAAGCACCAAUUCGUACUCACAUACGAAAGAGAACAACAGUCGAGCCCUAAUUUCUCCAUAAAAAACAGAAGCAGCCGCUGUCCUCCUCUCAAUUCCGCCAACGUCGCCGCCCAAGGUUGUUCAUGAGACCAUUAAUGUUGGAACAGAGACUGCUGCCGGUGUGUUUUGGAUUGAGAAGAGUUUCACGCUUCCAGGAAAAUUCUUAUACCUGAGUGUGUUUUGGAUUGAGAAGAGUUUCAGGCCUCAAAGCUAGUUAAGGAAAUUGGUUGCAACUGAUCGGUGUAUCAUGGCUAUCUUAUUCCUUAUUGUUGUCGGUGUCAUAGCUAUCAUUAUUGUGAAGUUUGGGAAUAUUAAAUAAAGCUAGAGAUGGGGAAAAUGUUCUGCAGCUACGCAAACUCUGCCUUGCCACCACAUGACUGCUGCUCAGAACGUCAUGGAACAGGUCUGAUGGAACCAAAAUGAUAGUGCAUAUGUUCGACUCUCUUUAUAAUAGAAUUCGUGAUGUCCCUUGGAAAGCUGCUGUUGACAAUGCUAUGAGUAUCUACAAUGCAAACAAAGGAAAGAAAUUCAAGAACUCGGCAAAAUGGGAAAAUAUAAAGGCUCCUAAGCAACCUGGUGGUACGGAAUGUGGAUUUUUUGUGAUGCGCUAUAUGAAAGAAAUAGUGCAAGGGUUUGAAAAGGACGCCAAUAUUUCUCUGCCAUCAUUGUUUACGAAUGUACAAUAUUCUCAAGUUGAAAUCGAUGAAGUUCGCGAGGAAUGGGCUAAGUGUGUUCUUACACAUGUAUUGGACUGAUUGUGAAUUAUGAUCAGGCUAUUAAUCCUCUUAUAUCAUCCCUAAGUGUUGGUGAUAUACAUGUGCCAUAUUAAUCCUCUUAUAUCAUCCGCUUAUACUUGUGAAUUAUGAUCAGGCUUUAAAAUUCACAUAUAUAACUUAAGUAACAAAUUACUGAAACUGGGCUUUUGAGAUUAAGUUUAGAUUCAAACAUUUGUGAAGUUAAUCUUCAUUUAGCAUCAUUUUUAGUUUCUUUACAUGGCACAUAGUAUUAUGUUUUAUUGAUUUUGUUUCAUGGUCAGGUGGCAAU